rnacentral:rRNA from 1 species
UAGUCAUAUGCUUGUCUCAAAGAUUAAGCCAUGCAUGUCUAAGUACAUACUGUUUAUAAAGUGAAACCGCGAAUGGCUCAUUAAAUCAGUUACGGUUCCUCGGAUAUUCUUUUUUACAUGGAUAACUGUGGUAAUUCUAGAGCUAAUACAUGAACAAGUGUUCCAACCUCAGCUUGCUGACGGAAGGAUCGCAUUUAUUAGUACAAGACCAAUGAUUCUUAUUCACCUAGAACCCUGUUCAGUGAUUUCGGUCGCUGUCUAAGGACUAGCAGUGGGGAUCUUAGCAACUUCGGUUGCAUUUCUUGUGAUGACUCUGAAUAACUGAGCAAAUCGUAUGGCCUCUGAGCCGACGAUGUAUCCCUCAAGCAACUGCCUUAUCAACUGUCGAUGGUAGGUUAUGCGCCUACCAUGGUUGUAACGGGUAACGGGGAAUUAGGGUUCGAUUCCGGAGAGGGAGCCUGAGAAACGGCUACCACAUCUAAGGAAGGCAGCAGGCGCGCAAAUUACACAAUCCCAGUACGGGGAUGUAGUGACGAAAAAAACAAUACGGGACUCUAUUGAGGCCCCGUAAUUGGAAUGAGUACAAUUUAAAUCCUUUAACGAGGAUCUAUUGGAGGGCAAGUCUGGUGCCAGCAGCCGCGGUAAUUCCAGCUCCAAUAGCGUAUAUUA